CGGGAAGCUGAGGCAGGAGAAUCGCUUGAACCCGGGAGGCGAAGCUUGCAGUGAGCCAAGAUCACACUACUGCACUCCAGCCUGGGUGACAGAGUGAGACUCUGUC